UCGUCCCAAGAGAGCACGCCUCUUCUCCACCUCUCCGCACGCCUACUCUCCACCUCUCGCCGAAACUCUCUCGUGCAGGGCAUCUGUCCGCCGUGGACGAUCUGUACCGGUCGCCUCCUCCGUCUGCUGCCGUUGUCCACCCAUCCCCUCCCUCUAAUCAAUUCUCUUACUGGGGCCAACGAUUCUGCAGGUAAUCUCACUCAUCCCCGGAUCAGUCCAAGUCCGUUGCCGGAAAGAUUUCUUUCGAACAGACACGGGAUGAUUGCGUAACUAUUCCACGUACGACAUCUGGUGCUACAGUUUUUGUUUGACAGAGAAUCCAACAGUUGUGCAAAACUACUGUACAAGAUGUGUCCCAUGUGUAGCACCACUCGGAUGGUAAUGAAGAGAUCCUUGGUAUGUGUAACAGUGAUCCAUCUCUCCAUGGAGCGUUAGUGUUGACAGAAUCAAGGAGAAAUUACAAAAGGAAGACUUAUGAGCAUGCCUAUGGUUGCUGCAUAAUGUUGCUGCAUGGUAUUCCUUCCGGUUGAUUAAGCAUUUCCAUUCUAGCAUUACAAUGUGCUUAACUGAGUUCUUAAUUAGAUUCUUCUUUUAUUUUAUUACAAGUGUGUGUUGGCUUCGAUUGUUCAA